rnacentral:RNase_P_RNA from 1 species
CUUAAAGGUAGUGCAAUGGCUCUGAUUCUUUCUUUGAAAGAAUCAGAGAGGAAAGUCCAGGCAGCAAAACAUAGGGUGUCCCGUGCAAUCGGGAGAAAGUGUAAACUUUACAGUAAGAGCAACAGUGACGAAUCUGCGCUUUUAAGCUGACAGAAUGAAACGCUGACUAAUGGUCAGAUAGCUGGUACAUAAUAUGGCCAGAUUUGGCAAUCCUCCCUGCUGCAAUCUCCGACAGGUUCGAUAAGGUGAUGUUUCCAUAGAACCGAAGAUAGAGAGCUUAGAGAAAUCAUUGCUUCUCCCGAUUCAUCGGGACUAGACAGAACCUGGCUUAUAUGCCUUUAAGAUGA